rnacentral:rRNA from 1 species
GAUGAACGCUGGCGGCGUGCCUAAUACAUGCAAGUCGAGCGAACGGACGAGAAGCUUGCUUCUCUGAUGUUAGCGGCGGACGGGUGAGUAACACGUGGAUAACCUACCUAUAAGACUGGGAUAACUUCGGGAAACCGGAGCUAAUACCGGAUAAUAUUUUGAACCGCAUGGUUCAAAAGUGAAAGACGGUCUUGCUGUCACUUAUAGAUGGAUCCGCGCUGCAUUAGCUAGUUGGUAAGGUAACGGCUUACCAAGGCAACGAUGCAUAGCCGACCUGAGAGGGUGAUCGGCCACACUGGAGCUGAGACCCGGUCCAGACUCCUACGGGAGGCAGCAGUAGGGAAUCUUCCGCAAUGGGCGAAAGCCUGACGGAGCAACGCCGCGUGAGUGAUGAAGGUCUUCGGAUCGUAAAACUCUGUUAUUAGGGAAGAACAUAUGUGUAAGUAACUGUGCACAUCUUGACGGUACCUAAUCAGAAAGCCACGGCUAACUACGUG